rnacentral:rRNA from 1 species
AUUGAACGCUGGCGGCAUGCCUUACACAUGCAAGUCGAACGGCAGCACGGACUUCGGUCUGGUGGCGAGUGGCGGACGGGUGAGUAAUAUAUCGGAACAUACCCUAGAGUGGGGAUAACGUAGCGAAAGUUACGCUAAUACCGCAUACGAACUAAGGUUGAAAGCGGGGGAUCUUCGGACCUCGUGCUCAUGGAGUGGCCGAUAUCUGAUUAGCUAGUUGGUGAGGUAAAGGCUCACCAAGGCGACGAUCAGUAGCUGGUUUGAGAGAACGACCAGCCACACUGGAACUGAGACACGGUCCAGACUCCUACGGGAGGCAGCAGUGGGGAAUUUUGGACAAUGGGCGCAAGCCUGAUCCAGCAAUGCCGCGUGAGUGAAGAAGGCC